CCUACGGGAGGCAGCAGUGGGGAAUAUUGGACAAUGGGGGCAACCCUGAUCCAGCCAUGCCGCGUGUGUGAAGAAGGCCCUCGGGUUGUAAAGCACUUUCAGUGAGGAAGAACGCCUGGUGGUUAAUACCCAUCAGGAAAGACAUCACUCACAGAAGAAGCACCGGCUAACUCCGUGCCAGCAGCCGCGGUAAUAUGGAGGGUGCGAGCGUUAAUCGGAAUUACUGGGCGUAAAGCGCGCGUAGGUGGCUUGAUAAGCCGGUUGUGAAAGCCCCGGGCUCAACCUGGGAACGGCAUCCGGAACUGUCAAGCUAGAGUGCAGGAGAGGAAGGUAGAAUUCCCGGUGUAGCGGUGAAAUGCGUAGAGAUCGGGAGGAAUACCAGUGGCGAAGGCGGCCUUCUGGACUGACACUGACACUGAGGUGCGAAAGCGUGGGUAGCAAACAGGAUUAGAUACCCGGGUAGUC
rnacentral:rRNA from 1 species